ACUAUCGUUAACUGAAUACAUAGGUUAACGAGGCGAACCGGGGGAACUGAAACAUCUAAGUACCCCGAGGAAAAGAAAUCAACCGAGAUUCCCCCAGUAGCGGCGAGCGAACGGGGAGCAGCCCAGAGUCUGAAUCAGCUUGUGUGUUAGUGGAACGGUCUGGAAAGUCCGACGGUACAGGGUGAUAGUCCCGUACACCAAAAUGCACAGGCUGUGAACUCGAAGAGUAGGGCGGGACACGUGGUAUCCUGUCUGAAUAUGGGGGGACCAUCCUCCAAGGCUAAAUACUCCUGACUGACCGAUAGUGAACCAGUACCGUGAGGGAAAGGCGAAAAGAACCCCGGCGAGGGGAGUGAAAAAGAACCUGAAACCGUGUACGUACAAGCAGUGGGAGCACCUUCGGGUGUGACUGCGUACCUUUUGUAUAAUGGGUCAGCGACUUAUAUUCUGUAGCAAGGUUAACCGUAUAGGGGAGCCGCAGGGAAACCGAGUCUUAACUGGGCGUUAAGUUGCAGGGUAUAGACCCGAAACCCGGUGAUCUAGCCAUGGGCAGGUUGAAGGUUGGGUAACACUAACUGGAGGACCGAACCGACUAAUGUUGAAAAAUUAGCGGAUGACUUGUGGCUGGGGGUGAAAGGCCAAUCAAACCGGGAGAUAGCUGGUUCUCCCCGAAAGCUAUUUAGGUAGCGCCUCGUGAAUUCAUCUUCGGGGGUAGAGCACUGUUUCGGCUAGGGGGUCAUCCCGACUUACCAACCCGAUGCAAACUACGAAUACCGAAGAAUGUUAUCACGGGAGACACACGGCGGGUGCUAACGUCCGUCGUGAAGAGGGAAACAACCCAGACCGCCAGCUAAGGUCCCAAAGUCAUGGUUAAGUGGGAAACGAUGUGGGAAGGCACAGACAGCCAGGAUGUUGGCUUAGAAGCAGCCAUCAUUUAAAGAAAGCGUAAUAGCUCACUGGUCGAGUCGGCCUGCGCGGAAGAUGUAACGGGGCUAAACCAUGCACCGAAGCUGCGGCAGCGACACUAUGUGUUGUUGGGUAGGGGAGCGUUCUGUAAGCCUGCGAAGGUGNUGCUGGAGGUAUCAGAAGUGCGAAUGCUGACAUAAGUAACGAUAAAGCGGGUGAAAAGCCCGCUCGCCGGAAGACCAAGGGUUCCUGUCCAACGUUAAUCGGGGCAGGGUGAGUCGACCCCUAAGGCGAGGCCGAAAGGCGUAGUCGAUGGGAAACAGGUUAAUAUUCCUGUACUUGGUGUUACUGCGAAGGGGGGACGGAGAAGGCUAUGUUAGCCGGGCGACGGUUGUCCCGGUUUAAGCAUGUAGGCUGGUUGUCCAGGCAAAUCCGGAUAAUCAAGGCUGAGGUGUGAUGACGAGGCACUACGGUGCUGAAGUAACAAAUGCCCUGCUUCCAGGAAAAGCCUCUAAGCAUCAGGUAACAUCAAAUCGUACCCCAAACCGACACAGGUGGUCAGGUAGAGAAUACCAAGGCGCUUGAGAGAACUCGGGUGAAGGAACUAGGCAAAAUGGUGCCGUAACUUCGGGAGAAGGCACGCUGGUGUGUAGGUGAAGUCCCUGCGGAUGGAGCUGAGACCAGUCGAAGAUACCAGCUGGCUGCAACUGUUUAUUAAAAACACAGCACUGUGCAAACACGAAAGUGGACGUAUACGGUGUGACGCCUGCCCGGUGCCGGAAGGUUAAUUGAUGGGGUUAUCCGUAAGGAGAAGCUCUUGAUCGAAGCCCCGGUAAACGGCGGCCGUAACUAUAACGGUCCUAAGGUAGCGAAAUUCCUUGUCGGGUAAGUUCCGACCUGCACGAAUGGCGUAAUGAUGGCCAGGCUGUCUCCACCCGAGACUCAGUGAAAUUGAACUCGCUGUGAAGAUGCAGUGUACCCGCGGCAAGACGGAAAGACCCCGUGAACCUUUACUAUAGCUUGACACUGAACAUUGAGCCUUGAUGUGUAGGAUAGGUGGGAGGCUUUGAAGCGUGGACGCCAGUCUGCGUGGAGCCAACCUUGAAAUACCACCCUUUAAUGUUUGAUGUUCUAACGUUGGCCCCUUACCGGGGUUGCGGACAGUGUCUGGUGGGUAGUUUGACUGGGGCGGUCUCCUCCCAAAGCGUAACGGAGGAGCACGAAGGUUAGCUAAUCCUGGUCGGACAUCAGGAGGUUAGUGCAAUGGCAUAAGCUAGCUUGACUGCGAGCGUGACGGCGCGAGCAGGUGCGAAAGCAGGUCAUAGUGAUCCGGUGGUUCUGAAUGGAAGGGCCAUCGCUCAACGGAUAAAAGGUACUCCGGGGAUAACAGGCUGAUACCGCCCAAGAGUUCAUAUCGACGGCGGUGUUUGGCACCUCGAUGUCGGCUCAUCACAUCCUGGGGCUGAAGUAGGUCCCAAGGGUAUGGCUGUUCGCCAUUUAAAGUGGUACGCGAGCUGGGUUUAGAACGUCGUGAGACAGUUCGGUCCCUAUCUGCCGUGGGCGCUGGAGAAUUGAGGGGGGCUGCUCCUAGUACGAGAGGACCGGAGUGGACGCAUCACUGGUGUUCGGGUUGUCAUGCCAAUGGCACUGCCCGGUAGCUAAAUGCGGAAGAGAUAAGUGCUGAAAGCAUCUAAGCACGAAACUUGCCCCGAGAUGAGUUCUCCCUGAGACUUUAAGUCUCCUGAAGGAACGUUAAAGACGAUGACGUUGAUAGGCCGGGUGUGUAAGCGCAGCGAUGCGUUGAGCUAACCGGUACUAAUGAACCGUGAGGCUUAACC
rnacentral:rRNA from 1 species